AUACGGAGGGUGCAAGCGUUGUCCGGAUUUAUUAGGUUUAAAGGGUGUGUAGGCGGUAUUUUAAGUCAGUGGUGAAAUCUCGGAGCUUAACUUCGAAACUACCAUUGAUACUGGAAUACUUGAGUAUAGUUGAGGUAGGCGGAAUAUGUAAUGUAGCGGUGAAAUGCAUAGAUAUUACAUAGAACACCGAUUGCGAAGGCAGCUUACUAAACUAUUACUGACGCUGAUGCACGAAAGCGUGGGGAGCGAACAGGAUUAGAAACCCUAGUAGUCC
rnacentral:rRNA from 1 species